UUAUCAUCCGUGGGAAGCUCAAGAAUCUUAUUGAGCAUGAUGUUUCACCAGAUUUUAUAUUCAGCACCCUUUUUGAGGAACUGAAGAAACAUUUUGAUGAACAUCUGAAAGCCAAGGCUGAAUUCCUCUAUCAUAAAUACCAAUAUCAACAAGAUUCUGAUAAAUGGAAUGACUCGAAGAAGAACCUCCGUUA